rnacentral:lncRNA from 1 species
GGACAAGUGUUUUAAAAAUGAUUUGAAAAACCGUUUGUAUCCACAUGUAAUACCAACAGUAUUUCCAUCUUUAGGUCAUCGAAAGAGAGCCAAAAGGAACAUAAUUAUGCUAACAGUUCAUUAAUGACGAUAAAGCAUAUUUCUAUUCUAUCUCAUUUGGAACUGACACUAUGACCAUCUGACACCUUCGAUUAAAGAGCUUGGGGUGUAAAUAACCUAGGACAGCACCGAAGCCUGCAGACCGCCAGCUAAGUUUCUUAAUAAAAUAUUUUACUUGCCUGUCUACAGAGACAGAUUAUUUUUAUAUAAAGUAACUUCAUGGAUUCUAAAAUGUAAAUUUUGAAUUGUGACCAUAUUAAAAUGAGAAAAUAAAGCGUGUAUACCGAA